rnacentral:tRNA from 1 species
UAGACAGAUGCUUGCUGGUUUGAGCAUUUAACUGUUAAUUAAAAGUUUGUAGGAUCGAAGCCUUCCUGUCUAG